rnacentral:lncRNA from 1 species
CGUAAUGCGACAGCUGGCGACUCUGCUGGGGACUCGAGAGAAGUUGACCUCUUGCUGGUCCAUCUUCCCUAAGCGAGUCUCUCCUAGCGCUCUCUAGGUUAGGGUUUUGGUUGCUUUUUGCUGUUAUUUAUUGCAUUCAUUUAUUUAUUGUUUGCAUUUAUGUUUGCAUUAAUGUUUGCAUUCAUAUUCAUCUGUUCACCUGGCUGGCUGGUUGUCUGUUUCUCUCUGUUGGGGUGGGAGUUAC